AUUGAACGCUGGCGGCAUGCUUUACACAUGCAAGUCGAACGGUAACAGGCCGCAAGGUGCUGACGAGUGGCGAACGGGUGAGUAAUGCAUCGGAACGUGCCCAGUCGUGGGGGAUAACUACUCGAAAGAGUAGCUAAUACCGCAUACGAUCUAUGGAUGAAAGCGGGGGACCGUAAGGCCUCGCGCGAUUGGAGCGGCCGAUGUCAGAUUAGGUAGUUGGUGGGGUAAAGGCUCACCAAGCCAACGAUCUGUAGCUGGUCUGAGAGGACGACCAGCCACACUGGGACUGAGACACGGCCCAGACUCCUACGGGAGGCAGCAGUGGGGAAUUUUGGACAAUGGGCGCAAGCCUGAUCCAGCAAUGCCGCGUGCAGGAAGAGGGCCUUCGGGUUGUAAACUGCUUUUGUACGGAACGAAACGGCUCUGGUUAAUACCCGGGGCUAAUGACGGUACCGGAAGAAUAAGCACCGGCUAACUACGUG
rnacentral:rRNA from 1 species